CCUCAUCGCCCCCCCCACCCCAAGAGCCUCCCCCAGGCCCCGCCCAGAACUCCAGCAGAACUCAGAACUACGGGAUGGAAGAGAGCAACUUCGGUUCACUUCACACGUGAGAGCGCCGAAGCUCUCAGGAGCUGGGACCUGACCCAGCUGUACACUGUGCAGAUCUAGAAGCAGAUCCGAUACUCUACUCCCAGCUGGGUUCCUGCCUCCAGGCAGGACCCAAGCUCGGUGCUGUGAGCUCAGACCAAGUUAGACCUGGGCAGAUGACUCGACCACCCACUGAAGUGACUAGCCCCAGUUCCUGGAAGGUUGUGGUUGACAAACCUUGAGUAACAAUGGCAAUCAGGGCCACUUCCUGUCCUUUGUUCAAAGAAAUGAACCUUUGGAGUUUAAAAUUUGCUUCCCAACCCUGCCCUGGCGGAAAACCAGAAAACUUGCUCAGUUCUUGCAGCUUAAAAAAAGAAAAUACACGAACUGGGUGAACUGGUUUGAAUAAAGACAGGCCUGUUCUUGGAAGAUUGGGGUUGGAUUUUUUUUUUUUUUUUUUUGGCCUUUGAUACUUGUAAAAGUGAGCAAAGAUGGGAACCGCAUUUACUACGUUAAGAGAUGGACUAGGAGGUACUUGUAGGCCCUCUGGCCCGCAGUAUUGAAAGCUUUUAAUCCCAGCACAAGGGAGGUAGGUCUGUGUGGACCCUGUCACAAACAAAACAACCUCUGAUUUUCUCCUUUUGUGUUUCUAGCCUGUCCCUACACAAAAGAAAUGCCUCACCUCAGCCCACACUAACAACAACCUCAGCACACCCUAAUGGCUUCCCUACCUGUUGCUGCCAUCUCAGCAUUUAUUGAACAACACCUCUCCUGCGGUCUUCAAACUCGAACACUUCUGGGUUCAAACUACUGAAGCCCUUUGCCCUCUCAACUUCCCCAGCUACGCACUGAAAAGCAGGAAUGCAGCAGAAGCGAAGAUCAAGAGUACCAGGCACCCCACGCAAUAAUGAACUGUUUUCUCUUUACAAUUAACGUGACAUCAGACAGGAAUCAAGAGCUCCUAGAGUUCAGACUUAAAAAGAUCACAAUUGAUUCAUUUCAGCCAGUCUGUGUCCUGGGUGCUACUAUUUAGUGUGGGGAACUCACCCCCGUGCUCAUUUAGACGUAACGGAACUUGACCAGCAUUGCUUGCUUGCUUUUAUUCCCUUCUCAGUAACCCACUUAUAAAGAAUAAUAGGGUUCUAAUGAGGAUUAAUAAAAUUUAAUAAGGUA